CCUACGGGGGGCAGCAGUGAGGAAUAUUGGUCAAUGGACGAGAGUCUGAACCAGCCAAGUAGCGUGAAGGAUGACUGCCCUAUGGGUUGUAAACUUCUUUUAUAUGGGAAUAAAACGUUCCACGUGUGGGAUUUUGUAUGUACCAUAUGAAUAAGGAUCGGCUAACUCCGUGCCAGCAGCCGCGGUAAUACGGAGGAUCCGAGCGUUAUCCGGAUUUAUUGGGUUUAAAGGGAGCGUAGGUGGAUUGUUAAGUCAGUUGUGAAAGUUUGCGGCUCAACCGUAAAAUUGCAGUUGAUACUGGCAGUCUUGAGUACAGUAGAGGUGGGCGGAAUUCGUGGUGUAGCGGUGAAAUGCUUAGAUAUCACGAAGAACUCCGAUUGCGAAGGCAGUUCACUGGACUGCAACUGACACUGAGGCUCGAAAGUGUGGGUAUCAAACAGGAUUAGAUACCCGUGUAGUC
rnacentral:rRNA from 1 species